rnacentral:rRNA from 1 species
AGAGUUUGAUCAUGGCUCAGGACGAACGCUGGCGGCAUGCCUAACACAUGCAAGUCGAACGGAGAUAUUUAAGAGCUUGCUUUUGGAUAUCUUAGUGGCGGACGGGCGAGUAACGCGUGAGCAACCUGCCCUUCAGUGGGGAAUAACGGCUGGAAACGGCCGCUAAUACCGCAUAACAUCACUAUGCCGCAUGGCGUGGUGAUCAAAGGAUUCAUUCGCUGAAGGAUGGGCUCGCGUCCGAUUAGCUAGUUGGUGGGGUAACGGCCCACCAAGGCGACGAUCGGUAGCCGAACUGAGAGGUUGAUCGGCCGCAUUGGGACUGAGACACGGCCCAGACUCCUACGGGAGGCAGCAGUGGGGGAUAUUGGUCAAUGGGGGAAACCCUGAACCAGCAAUGCCGCGUGAGGGAAGAAGGUCUUCGGAUUGUAAACCUAAGUAGUCAGGGA